AACCUGGUUGAUCUUGCCAGUAGUCAUAUGCUUGUCUCACAGAUUAAGCCAUGCAAGUGAAAGUACAUAUGUAAGUAAUAUAUUGAAACUGCGAACGGCUCAUUAAAACAGUUAUAAUCUACUUGAUGUUUUUAAUAUAAGGAUAACUACGGAAAAUCUGUAGCUAAUACUUGUGAAAAUACCUUUUGAUAUAUACAUAUGUAUGUAUCAUUAAGGUAUGUAUUUGUUAGAUAUAAGAAUAAAAUAAAUAUAAUUGAAUUAUAACAAAGAAGAAACACAUAAAAUAUGUGUAUUAUCAAUCGAGUAUCUGACCUAUCAGCUUUUGAUGUUAGGGUAUUGACCUAACAUGGCUAUGACGGGUAACGGGGAAUUAGAGUUCGAUUCCGGAGAGGGAGCCUGAGAAAUAGCUACCACAUCUAAGGAAGGCAGCAGGCGCGUAAAUUACCCAAUUCUAAAAAAGAGAGGUAGUGACAAGAAAUAACAAU
rnacentral:ncRNA from 1 species